rnacentral:rRNA from 1 species
CCUCCGUAGGGUGAACCUGCGGAGGGAUCAUUGCUGGAACGCGCUUCGGCGCACCCAGAAACCCUUUGUGAACUUAUACCUUACUGUUGCCUCGGCGCAGGCCGGCCUCACUGAGGCCCCUCGGAAACGAGGAGCAGCCCGCCGGCGGCCAACCAGACUCUUGUUUCUUAGUGGAUCUCUGAGUAAAAAAACAUAAAUGAAUCAAAACUUUCAACAACGGAUCUCUUGGUUCUGGCAUCGAUGAAGAACGCAGCGAAAUGCGAUAAGUAAUGUGAAUUGCAGAAUUCAGUGAAUCAUCGAAUCUUUGAACGCACAUUGCGCCCUCUGGUAUUCCGGAGGGCAUGCCUGUUCGAGCGUCAUUUCAACCCUCAAGCACUGCUUGGUGUUGGGGCACCGCCUGUAAAAGGGCGGGCCCUGAAAUCUAGUGGCGAGCUCGCCAGGACCCCGAGCGUAGUAAUUCUAUUUCGUUCUGGAAGGCCCUGGCGGUGCCCUGCCGUUAAACCCCCAACUUCUGAAAAUUUGACCUCGGAUCAGGUAGGAAUACCCGCUGAACUUAAGCAUAUCAAUAAGCGGA